CCCUAAUUUUGAAUAGCCAGCUUAGAGAAUUCUUUCUUAAAAAUAUAUUAAUUAAAUAAGUGAAUUUCUCAUUCAGCUGCUGCAUUUCUUGACGCCUGCAAUUAAUGUUUUAAGUCUACAAUUCUUUUUGCAUUUAGCGUAUGCAAUGGUGUGUACAUAUUUUGGCACAAUAACAAUAAUGAAAACCAACAAAAAGGAUUUAUUUUUUUUUUAUUUUUCUCCUUUAAUGGAUUUGAUUAGCUUUUUGAUAAAUUUACACUGUUUCUCUCCAUAACUGCUUUGUGCACUUUGCAACACUGACGCCGCUUUUGUUUUGCUCAGCUGCUUCUUUCGUUUUGCAGUUGCUUUCGCUCUCUCUCUUUCGCUUUGGGCGAGAUAGUGCUGCCACAUGCGAGGUAUUUGGAAAUCGCGACUAGGUGGCAACCCGGGGCGGUGGCAACAGAAGAGUCAGCAAAGGAGAAUGUGCAAAAUAAGUGCGCGGGUGCAAGCGGGACGAAAAUAGCGCGGCUGCGGCAUGCGAUUGCGUGCUCGCAAGUGCGAGUGCGAGGGAAAUAACAGCAGCGACAGAGAGCGAGAAUGCAGUGGCAUUUGUAUGUGUGUGUAAUGUUUUAUCAAAGAGCAAAGCUCGCUCUCAUCGUCGCGUGUGUGUUUGUAAAAUGGUAACGAGCGGAGCAAAAAAAAGAAGAAGGUGCAAACACACAGAGAGUAGCAAGCCAAGAGAAAGAACAAGAGCGGCGAGAGGGAGAGAGCCAUGGAACGAGCAAAACAGCGAGAGCGAGUGUAACUAUUCGCUCAUUUGCGAAAACGAAAAAGAAACCGAAACGAAAACGGUCAAAAAUUGAUAAAUAUUUUUGUGCGCAACUUCCGCGCGCGCGUUCGUUUAAAAACAACACCGAAAGCAAACUACACACGCCACCAACUACAACUACAACUACAAAUACAAGCUGCGCUACCAGCUUCGCGGCGUUGCAGCUCCUUCUUCUUUCGCUGCUGCCUUCCAUUCCACCGAACUUCCAAUCCGAAGCGGAAAGCAGCUGCUGCCGAAUGCUGAAGAAGAGGGGUGGGGACACCGUGGGGAGUGAAAAGAGAGGAGUCCAUGAGAGAGAGAGAGAGAGAGAGAGAGAGAGAGAGAGAGAGAGAUGAAGAGGACAGCCGGCGUCUUUGUCAAUUCGCGAGCGACGAUGCCGGCAGAGGGCGCCAUUGCCACAACACCACGAAACAAAGGCAACAAAUACAACAUGGUAACAGUGCUGCCUCCGACUUUGGAAUAAGAAAUAAUUCAGCCAGGAACAAGCUAACUAGAGGUUUUUUUUCCAACACAACUGUUAAUCUAACUAUUAAAAUUAUAACCGCAAUUUACAUUUUUUUUUUGUAAUUUAAAUAUAUAUUACGCCUAUUACAUAGAAUAGCCAAAAAAUCAACUCUAAAAGUAAACUUCAAAUGUCAAAGAAUUGUAUCUGCGUGGAAUGGGCAAACAAAAAUGGUGCAAUACGUUCUAUUGAGCAGUAAAUUAGUUGAAUAAUACAAAGUACAAAAUAAAGGAAUAUUUAUAUUAUGUUGUUUCGAUUUCUUGAACUUCAUUUUGCGAAUGUCCAUUAAAUUUGUAUUAGUCUUAUGUGACUGAAUUUCGGAAAUAAAGAUCUGAGAUGUUAGCAUGUGAAAUCAUGUUUCUCUUCACUUCACCCCUCUGUAUCACUGGCCUUUUGACAACAGCUGUCGCAUGGCUGCCGUUCAUUCCCGAAUGCAUACGAAGAGAAAAAGGAAAAGGGGAGGCAGACAGAGAAGAAACGGAAGCAUAAGGAAAAGCUGUGGAGCAAACGAACAAAAGAAGUGUUGCCGAACAUGGCUAAUGCAUGAAAAUUGUAACGGCCAGUGAAACACGAAAUUGGCAACACUGAGAAAAACUGAGAAAGCGAGAAUUACGAAGGCAAUGAGGGGGAAACAACGAAAGGCCAGACAAUAAAAUGAGCUGACGAUAACGAGGAGGGUUGGGGAAAGAGGGGCGAAGCAGAAGAAGAAGUGGUUCGACGGAGAUGGAGAAGCGCAAAACCCAAAGCGACAAACGACGACGACUUAAUUUUUGGGCCUUGCCUUUGCCUCACGUGGGCGCGAAUGAGAUAAAUCUAUGAUGAUGAUUAUGCUACUGCAGUGCGAAAGGGAGAAGAGAGGGACAGUGCGAAAGGGAAAAGCAGAGAGGUGCAUGCGAAAAGGGCAGAGGAGCCAAUGUGGAAUGGAAUUGCGGACCGAGAUGGAAUGGAAUGGCACAGACAAAAAUUAGGUCUCUCGAUGUAAAAUUGUAUAAAUUAACUAUCAAGUUAUAGGAAGCUUAUAUAUACAUUUAAUUUGAUUCGCUCUAAUUACUUUUCAUUCUUUUCGCAUAAAAGCUAUAAGCUAUUCAUGUUAAUAAUAACAAUGCCAAGUUUUCUCUUUACACAAAACAUAAAUAGUAAAUAGGGGAAUAUAAACCUGGAAGGAUAAAAAAACGAAAUGGAAGCAGUGAAUGAAGGAAAGGAGGAGAUCGGAAGGGGGACACAAGUGGGUGGUUGGGCGUUGCGUGGGUGUGGCACUGAAAACCAACGGAACUCACAUGCAUUACGCAUAUGCAUUUCUUAUUGAGAGAAAAUCUCAGUGCGAGAGGAGGACAGAGAGAAAAAGAGAGAGAGAGAGACGUGACGGGAAAAGAGAACUAGGAGAGAUGAUUAUGGAGAGAUACAUUCCAAUAGUGCUUGAAAAGUCGUUGCAUGUUUUCCAUUGCGCUGUUAUUUACAAUCAAAGUGUAACAUAUAUUUUUUAGUCCCUAGCACUAUUUCAAGAAGUAGUACCUGCUAGCAAAGUUGCAAUUAAGGAAAAAAAUAGUAACCGAACGCGAACCAGUUUCUUUUUGGCAAUAUUGUUGAUAAGGCAAUGGUUGUGUAAAUGUAUGUGUUUUUUUUUAAACUGGUUUGCUGUUGUCCCGCAAGAGACGUUGACUUCAUACCAAAGAAAAACAAAAGAAAAAGCAGUACAAACAGCAAAAACAAAUGGAAACAAAACACACGACAAAAAAAGCACAGCAAAAACACUUCGAACCGCAACUCGGCUCGACUGCGCGGUCGGCAGCGCAGCCGGCUCUCAACGCGCCGCUUCUGCUGGCGCAGUUUAACAGUUCACGUCGAUGAGUCAAGGUCGAGAGACGUCACGCAAAUUUUCGUUUUCAUUGCCUUUUGCUUACAGACAAAAAACACAACACAAAUGGCACCAAACGAGGGACCGCAUACACACACACACAUGCAGACGCACAUGCUGUUUUAUUUUUAGACCCGAAUGACGACCCGAAGAGGACACGAAGUUGCACGAGAGUGGCUGAUAAAGCUGCGAGAGAGCAAUACAGCAACAUCUGCUCUGCUACAAAAAUGAAUGAAUAUAUGUGGUUGUUGUUGCUUUAAAUUUAGGCUAUUGAAAUUGUUGGCAAUUUUAAUAUAAACAUUAUCUAAAAGGGGGAAAUGAAUUUGGUACUGCAAUAAAAAGCACUUGAUUAACCCAUUUUAAAAAA